rnacentral:snRNA from 16 species
AUACUUACCUUGUUACGAAGCGGCUGCUCACGAAUAGCUUGCUUCCGUCGGAGAGUCCUGCAUUGCACAUCGCGGUGACAAUCUGGCGCGUGUGUCCUUCGGGGCCCACGGUGGCGUAAUUUUUGAUGGCUCCCUCGGCGUUCGCGCUCUC